rnacentral:rRNA from 1 species
CAGUCGCGCGGUAAUACAGAGGGUGCAAGCGUUAAUCGGAAUUACUGGGCGUAAAGCGCGCGUAGGUGGUUUGUUAAGUUGGAUGUGAAAUCCCCGGGCUCAACCUGGGAACUGCAUCCAAAACUGGCAAGCUAGAGUAUGGUAGAGGGUGGUGGAAUUUCCUGUGUAGCGGUGAAAUGCGUAGAUAUAGGAAGGAACACCAGUGGCGAAGGCGACCACCUGGACUGAUACUGACACUGAGGUGCGAAAGCGUGGGGAGCAAACAGGAUUAGAUACCCCUGUAGUCCCUGUCUCUUAUACA